rnacentral:lncRNA from 1 species
AUGCCCCAUAAAGCUAAACUCCUCUGAUGUGUCAACCUUUUUGCCCAGGUGUUUUUUUCAAAAAUUGAGCAUGCUAGCUCACCUUUCGUGCUCCAACCUGACAUUAAGGCAUAAGCUGGAAAGUUAUUUAUUAUCCAUAUAAGCACCGUGCGCAUGGAGAAUGACUCAUUCAUCAAAACUUCAAAAGUUGGAACACCUUGAAUGCCCCACAACUGUUUCAGCUCGACAAUAAAAGGCUGCAAAUAGACAUCAAUAUUAUUCUCUACCUCCAUCGGUCCA